AUGAGAACUUGCCCUUGCGGGUAGAUCUCCCACCCUUUGUUUGUCGUACCUUUGUUGCUUUGUCGGGCCCGUCUCUCGGGACCGCCGGCUCCGGCUGGCCAGCGCCCGGCAGAGGAUUCAAACUCUUGUAUCACUGUCGUCAGAGUAUUAUUUAAUAGUUA
rnacentral:misc_RNA from 2 species